rnacentral:rRNA from 1 species
GAUUAGAUACCCCACUAUGCUUUGCCCUAAACAUUGAUAGCUAUUUACACCCACUAUCCGCCCGGGUACUACGAGCAACAGCUUAAAACCCAAAGGACUUGGCGGUGCUUUAGACCCACCUAGAGGAGCCUGUUCUAAAACCGAUAACCCCCGUUCAACCUCACCUUUUCUUGUUCUCCCCGCCUAUAUACCGCCGUCGUCAGCUUACCCUAUGAAGGCCCUUCAGUAAGCACAAUUGGCACAGCCCAAUACGUCAGGUCGAGGUGUAGCGUAUGAAAAGGGAAGAAAUGGGCUACAUUCACUGACACAGUGAAUCACGAAAAAUACCACUGAAACGUGUAUCUAGAAGGAGGAUUUAGCAGUAAGCAGAAAAUAGAGCGUUCUGCUGAAACUGGCCCUGAAGCGCGCACACACC